rnacentral:rRNA from 1 species
UACAGCGACUGCGAAUGGCUCAUUAUAUAAGUUAUCGUUUAUUUGAUAGUACCUUACUACUUGGAUAACCGUGGUAAUUCUAGAGCUAAUACAUGCUAAAAAUCCCGACUUCGGAAGGGAUGUAUUUAUUAGAUUAAAAACCAAUGCCCUUUGGGCUCCUUGGUGAUUCAUAAUAACUUUUCGAAUCGCAUGGCCUUGCGCCGGCGAUGGUUCAUUCAAAUUUCUUCCCUAUCAACUUUCGAUGUUUGGGUAUUGGCCAAACAUGGUCGCAACGGGUAACGGAGGGUUAGGGCUCGACCCCGGAGAAGGAGCCUGAGAAACGGCUACUACAUCCAAGGAAGGCAGCAGGCGCGCAAAUUACCCAAUCCCGAUUCGGGGAGGUAGUGACAAUAAAUACUGAUACAGGGCUCUUUUGGGUCUUGUAAUUGGAAUGAGUACAAUUUAAAUCUCUUAACGAGGAACAAUUGGAGGGCAAGUCUGGUGCCAGCAGCCGCGGUAAUUCCAGCUCCAAUAGCGUAUAUUAAAGUUGUUGUGGUUAAAAAGCUCGUAGUUGAACCUUGGGCCUGGCUGGCCGGUCCGCCUCACCGCGUGUACUGGUCCGGCCGGGCCUUUCCCUCUGUGGAACCUCAUGCCCUUCACUGGGUGUGGCGGGGAAACAGGACUUUUACUUUGAAAAAAUUAGAGUGCUCCAGGCAGGCCUAUGCUCGAAUACAUUAGCAUGGAAUAAUGAAAUAGGACGUGUGGUUCUAUUUUGUUGGUUUCUAGGACCGCCGUAAUGAUUAAUAGGGACAGUCGGGGGCAUCAGUAUUCAAUUGUCAGAGGUGAAAUUCUUGGAUUUAUUGAAGACUAACUACUGCGAAAGCAUUUGCCAAGGAUGUUUUCAUUAAUCAGGAACGAAAGUUAGGGGAUCGAAGACGAUCAGAUACCGUCGUAGUCUUAACCAUAAACUAUGCCGACUAGGGAUCGGACGAUGUUAUUUUUUGACGCGUUCGGCACCUUACGAGAAAUCAAAGUGCUUGGGCUCAGGGGGAGUAUGGUCGCAGGCUGAAACUUAAAGAAUUGACGAGGCACACAGGGGUGG